GAUCUUUAAAGAGAUGCAGAUGGGAAGGAAAAGGAGGCUUGUAUCAACCAGCUCAGUUGGACCCUCCGGCUCACUGCAAGGACAGACGGCUUUCUGUAUCCCGGGGUUCUUGCCUUGGUGUACUGGAAAAAUCAGAUCACACGUGGGCUUGGAGAACGGACGCGAAGUUUUAUUGAAUGGCGAAAGCAGCUCUCUCAGCAGAUGGAUGGGAACCAGAAGAGAGGUGGCCUCCCCUGGAGACUGUUUCCACUGAGCAGCCCGACUCCUCUCCCGGUUGUCCCGCCAUAGACGGCCUGCCGGCGUCUGCUGGCGUCUCCCGGUGUGUUCCUCCACCCCUCUGCGUCUCGCAACCGCCAGCCGCUGGCGUGUCUGCCCGCUAGGCUCUCAGAGUGUCUAUAGGCACGGGAUGGGAGCACGACAGGCCAGGCUGGUCUGGAAAAUGCAACAUUUGGGCAUGAAAACAGACAUGCCUGUUCUCACCUAGGUCCGUGGACACAGGCCUGGGGUGGAGCCCUUGCCAGGGACCGCCCCACCUUCUCCUCCCAGCACUUCCCUGCCCCCUUCCUGUAUCAGUCAGGAGCUGCGGUGCUCUGUUAGAAUCCAGUGUUGAGUGGAGUUAUUUAUGUGGAAAGAAAAAAACAGGAGUAUUUACAGGAUAUAGCCAGUCUUCUAGUGGAUGAACUACAUAUAGAAACAAAGUUAGAAAAGUGGCGCAAAUCAGAUUUUCCUUUAGUAGCUGUAUUAGUCAGCGUUCUCCGGAGGAUAUGUGUAUAUAUGUAUACAUGGUGUAUAUCCCUCAAUAGGAUCUAUGUAUAUAUGACAGGGAAUUUAUUAGGGAUAACUGGCACACAUGAUUACACAGUGAAGUCCCAUGAUGGACCCUGUGUAAGCUGGGGAAGAGAGAAGUGGUAGUGGCUCAGUCCGAGUCUGAAAGCCUCAGAACCAGGGAACCCAACAGUGCAGGCUUCAUUCUGUGGCCAAAAGCUCAAGAGGCCAGCAAGCCACGGGUGCACGUCCCAGAGUCCAAAGCCGAAGAACCUAGAGUCUGAUGCCCAUGGGCAGGAGGAUCAGACCGAAGCAUCCAGCCUGGGAGAAAGAUGAAAGACUCGGACAGAGCUGCUCAUCUCACCUUCCUCUGCCGGCUUUGUCCCAGCCACACUGGCGGCCGAUUGGAUGGUGCCCACCCACAAUGAGGGUGGGGCUUCCUCUCCCAGUCCAAUGACUCAAAUAUCCAUCUCCUCUGGCAAUACCCUCCCCGACACACUGAUCUAGGCAUCCUUCAUUCCAAUCAAGUUGACACCUAAUACUAACCAUCAUAAUAGCUGUGGUGGCAAACUGGGCUGUUCGUAACAGUGGAUCAAGGUGGACCUGUCUAAAACAGGGGAGCUCAAGAAAGAAAUGGAUUAGUUAUGGAAUGACGAAAGUCCACACAUUUUAAGACAGUCUUAUGUCAAAAUAGGGUAGAGAAGCAAAGCUGGCCAGACAUCAACAGAAGCCAAAGGAGUUGAAGGUCAAAUAAUAACAGUCACUUAGGCCAGAAAGCCCAGAUGCACACACCUGGGGGGAAAAUAGUCACUCUAAAACUUACACAGAGGAUGUCACAGCAAGGGUUUCCCCUUGUCUUCUGGCCAGGACCACAUAUAUCCUUUCCCAGCUUGGUGUCUCAUAAGCCUGAACACUUGAGGUUGGCAAUGAAGUUGCAAAUUCCUACUUAAAAAAGUUUCUGAUGGCUACAACAUGAUUUUCUCUGUAGUUUCUCGGAUCAUUUCCUUUGCUUAGAUUCAACACUUUUCGUGGAUAAGAAUACAGAAACUCAGAGAGGUUAAAUGAUUUACUUUAAACACUGUUUAUAACUUCAACACAUAUAAUAUUUAUUGAGUGCAUACUAGAUAUGUCAGGUAUGAUUCUAGAUCUUGGAGAUGCAGUGAUAAACACAACAAACUCUCUUGCAUUUAAACUACCAAUUUAUCUCAGAGCUGUUGAGUGGCAGAGUGAAAUUCAGUUGAGGUCUCUGGCGUCAGACCACCUGGGCAUUUUCUACACACAGUUUCAUUGUAUAUCUUUCUGUAAUUCCUUAAACAGGUAGUUUUCUUAGUAUUUGUUUUUGUAAGUCUUUAUUUCUGCAGGUAUUCUGGAGUAUUCAAGUGGAAAAAUAUUUAUUCUCUCCAUAUGAAAUUAUCAAGAUUCAUGUUUAGAAGGUUGAUAGAGUCUGAGUUUGCUCUGUUCCCCCAACCGCAGGCAUCGUUUCACUGGUAUAUUUAAAAUCGCGUUAACUGUAAUGUGAGUCAAAUUGUGUUUCUCAGAGCAAAAGAACUUUCAGGGAGGUGUUGUUUAAAUGCUAUAAUAGCAAGAGUGUAUCUUAAUAUUUUCAUAAAGCCCUAUUAAUGGAAAAUAAUAAUUUGUCUCUGUAAUGGAUGCCUAAGCUAGCUGAAAUUUUUAUUAAGAAGUCCCUCAGUCCUGCUGAAAAAAUAUCCAAUUAAUUCUUCUGGAUAUUAAAAAAAACUUUGAGUAAAAAUUAGUUUUUUUGAAUUGCCAAUGAAUGAUAAUUAUCAGUUGUUCCCAGCACCCAAAUGCUGACUCAAGGGCUAGGUCACUAUCUUGUUGAGAUUAGCUGAGCAUUUAAAAGAUUAUUGACUGAACGCUGGAACCAAGCCUUAGGUAAAAAUGGGUCUUUGAAAAUGUAGAAUCCAGGCCAUCGAUUAAAGAACCCACUAGAAAUAAAAUUAAGGUUCUGCUUGGUCUACUGAUUUUUGACCAGACCUAUGUGAAGUCCUGAUAGGUCUGUCCUAAGAUCUCACCAUAGAAAAAAGAUACUCUUGGGCAUACUCUGCCCUGUUUAUAUAAGAGUUUAUAUUAAAUUGACUCUUUUUCUGUAGUAGAACCGGGGAUAAUUCUCAAGUGUCUGUGCAAUAAUAUUACAGAUAUCUAAUGUGUAACUAGGUAAAGUUAGUCAAAACCAGCACAUUUAAGUGAGUCAAUCUGAUUUUAGUCUACUUAUUAAUAAAAACUAACUACAAGUGGUCGACAAGAUCAAUAUUGUGUCUGAAAUAUCCUUAAGGUUGAAACUGGCAUCAAAAAAUAUGUAGCAUUUAUAUAACUUAGGUAGCCCUGACUGUUAGCAAAUGAUAGAAAUUAAAAUAAACUAACAUUCCAGACAUUUAGUAGUAACUCAUUUUGUUAGAGCAGUGUCCAUUGUGUCUGUUGCUAUGUAAGAGAAACCAUUAGAAAAAUCCAUUUCUUAAGAUUUCUUUGAUCCAAGAACAUUAAUUAUUUAACAAAUAUUUUAAUACAUGGAAGCUUGGAUUUAUUCAUUUGCCUAGCCUGAGAAAUAAUAAUUUUUAUUGGAUGUAUUCACUGCAUAAUAUAUUAGAGAUUUUUUUCACAUUAAAAAUGUUUCAUAACUUAGAAUUGACUUUGACCCCAAUUUAACCUAAUUAAUUUAAUAUAAUUGCCUCAGAUGAGAGUGAAGUUAUUUGCUUUCUGGAACACCAGUAGGAAAUGAUAGAACUGAGUCUAAGAACACAGACUGAGCAUGACAUCACAGGGUAAGGUGAGCCAGAGGGCUGGGUGACACGAUGUUUCCUCGUCCUCUGGUAUCCCACUGGUUGGGAGGAGCGGGGAGGACAGGGAAGCCAGGGGACAGCAGAGACCACAGAAGCAUUCUCCCUGUUGCUGCUCCAGUGACUGGCACAAGACGCUGAAAUCCAAGGUCAGGGGCAGCCUUCUGGGUGUUUCCCAGAGGAAAAGACCAGAAAUCACUCAAUCUGGAAGCUGAAGACGGCAUUCAAUUUUUGUCACAGGCCAUGGAUCCCAGUCAGGAAGAGGAAUGGAGAUGGCAACUAGGAAUGAAUGGUCAGAGGCAAAUGGACUAGAGACAGUCUCUUCCUGUGUCUACUUCAAAAAUCACGUUGUUUUCACUCAAAAAUGCCCCUAAAGCAGCCCAAACUGCCCACUUCUUUGUGACAGGUGUAUGUGGAUGUGUGUGGGUAUGUGUGUCUGUAGGGCAGGAGUAAUAGUAGCUUAAUAAAAGCAGACAGUUACAAAAAGGCAGGGUAAAAAUUCAUUUCCUU
rnacentral:lncRNA from 1 species